rnacentral:rRNA from 1 species
AAAUUAACAUUCUAACGGCGUAAAGUGUGGUAAUAUGUUAUCCAAGUAGCUAAGAUUAAAAAGCAGCUGAGUUGUCAUAAGCCCAAGAUGCCCAUUAAGGCCGCUAUUCAAAGAAAAUCUUAGACCAACGAUUAAUUAAAGCCACGAAAGCCAGGGCCCAAACUGGGAUUAGAUACCCCACUAUGCCUGGCCCUAAAUCUUGAUGCUCAACCUAACCGGAGCAUCCGCCUGAGAACUACGAGCACAAACGCUUAAAACUCUAAGGACUUGGCGGUGCUCCACACCCACCUAGAGGAGCCUGUUCUGUAAUCGAUGAUCCACGAUAUACCUGACCAUCCCUUGCCCUAAACAGCCUAUAUACCGCCGUCUCCAGCCCACCCCAAUGAAGGCCCAACAGU